CCCAUGCAGUCGAGCGCACUCUUCGGAGUGAGCGGCGGACGGGUUAGUAACGCGUGGGAACGUGCCCUUCUCUAAGGAAUAGCCACUGGAAACGGUGAGUAAUACCUUAUACGCCCUUCGGGGGAAAGAUUUAUCGGAGAAGGAUCGGCCCGCGUUAGAUUAGAUAGUUGGUGGGGUAAUGGCCUACCAAGUCUACGAUCUAUAGCUGGUUUUAGAGGAUGAUCAGCAACACUGGGACUGAGACACGGCCCAGACUCCUACGGGAGGCAGCAGUGGGGAAUCUUGGACAAUGGGCGCAAGCCUGAUCCAGCCAUGCCGCGUGAGUGAUGAAGGCCUUAGGGUCGUAAAGCUCUUUCGCCAGAGAUGAUAAUGACAGUAUCUGGUAAAGAAACCCCGGCUAACUCCGUGCCAGCAGCCGCGGUAAUACGGAGGGGGUUAGCGUUGUUCGGAAUUACUGGGCGUAAAGCGCACGUAGGCGGAUCAGAAAGUAUAGGGUGAAAUCCCAGGGCUCAACCCUGGAACUGCCUUGUAAACUCCUGGUCUUGAGUUCGAGAGAGGUGAGUGGAAUUCCGAGUGUAGAGGUGAAAUUCGUAGAUAUUCGGAGGAACACCAGUGGCGAAGGCGGCUCACUGGCUCGAUACUGACGCUGAGGUGCGAAAGUGUGGGGAGCAAACAGGAUUAGAUACCCUGGUAGUCCACACCGUA
rnacentral:rRNA from 1 species